CUUCUCGUGGCGUAGCGGCAACGCGCCUGUCUAAUGAGUAGGAGUCGUGAGUUUGAGUCUCACCGAGAGGA
rnacentral:tRNA from 1 species